rnacentral:rRNA from 1 species
UAUUGGAUGGGGGGGAGCCUGAGCAGCCCGCCGUGUGGGUGGGGAAGGCCUUCGGGUCGUAAAGCCCUGUCGCCUGGGAAGAAACUACGAGUGGGGAAAGUUCAUUCGUAUUGACGGUACCAGGAGAGGAAGCACCGGCUAACUCUGUGCCAGCAGCCGCGGUAAUACAGAGGGUGCAAGCGUUGUUCGGAAUUACUGGGCGUAAAGCGUUUGUAGGCGGUUCUGAGAGUCCUAGGUGAAAUCCCCAAGCUUAACUUGGGAGCUGCCUGGGAGACCUCAGCACUAGAGUACUGAAGGGGUUACUGGAAUUCCAUGUGUAGCGGUGAAAUGCGUAGAUAUAUGGAGGAACACCUGUGGCGAAGGCGGGUAACUGGUCAGAGACUGACGCUGAGAAACGAAA